UACGUAGGGCGCAAGCGUUAUCCGGAAUUAUUGGGCGUAAAGAGCUCGUAGGCGGUUUGUCGCGUCUGCCGUGAAAGUCCGGGGCUCAACUCCGGAUCUGCGGUGGGUACGGGCAGACUAGAGUGAUGUAGGGGAGACUGGAAUUCCUGGUGUAGCGGUGAAAAUGCGCAGAUAUCAGGAGGAACACCGGUGGCGAAGGCGCCACUCUGGGCCGAAACUGACGCUGAGGAGCGAAAGCGUGGGUAGCAAACAGG
rnacentral:rRNA from 1 species